GAUGAACGCUAGCGAUAGGCUUAACACAUGCAAGUCGAGGGGCAGCAUGGUCUUAGCUUGCUAAGACUGAUGGCGACCGGCGCACGGGUGCGUAACGCGUAUGCAACUUGCCUCACAGAGGGGGAUAACCCGUCGAAAGACGGACUAAUACCGCGUACACUCCAUCUUGGGCAUCCAAGGUAGAGGAAAUGAAAUUCGCUGUGAGAUAGGCAUGCGUCCCAUUAGCUAGUUGGUGAGGUAACGGCUCACCAAGGCGACGAUGGGUAGGGGAACUGAGAGGUUGAACCCCCACACUGGUACUGAGACACGGACCAGACUACUACGGGCGGCAGCAGUGAGGAAUAUUGGUCAAUGGGCGAGAGCCUGAACCAGCCAAGUCGCGUGAAGGAUGACUGUCUUAUGGAUUGUAAACUUCUUUUAUACGGGAAUAACAAGAGUCACGUGUGACUCCCUGCAUGUACCGUAUGAAUAAGCAUCGGCUAACUCCGUG
rnacentral:rRNA from 1 species